AACGAACGCUGGCGGCAGGCUUAACACAUGCAAGUCGAGCGCCCCGCAAGGGGAGCGGCAGACGGGUGAGUAACGCGUGGGAAUCUACCCAUCUCUACGGAAUAACGCAUGGAAACGUGUGCUAAUACCGUAUACGUCCUUCGGGAGAAAGAUUUAUCGGAGAUGGAUGAGCCCGCGUUGGAUUAGCUAGUUGGUGGGGUAAAGGCCUACCAAGGCGACGAUCCAUAGCUGGUCGGAGAGGAUGGUCAGCCACACUGUGACUGAGACACGGCCCAGACUCCUGCGGGAGGCAGCAGUGGGGAAUAUUGGACAAUGGGCGCAAGCCUGAUCCAGCCAGGCCGCGUGGGUGAUGAAGGCCCUAGGGUUGUAAAGCUCUUUCACCGGUGAAGAUAAUGACGGUAACCGGAGAAGAAGCCCCGGCUAACUUCGUGCCAGCCGCCGCAGUAAUA
rnacentral:rRNA from 1 species